CAUCUCCAUACCCUUGGGAGGUGAAAGGCACUCAAAAAGAAGUCAUCAGAUGUGAUGUGUGCUAUAGAAAGCUACAGAAUAGUAAAGGCUCUGUUGUCAUUGUUCGAGAUUCUCCCAUGGAGCUGCAGAUGGGAUAAGUUGGACAGGGUUCAGAUUGGUGAAUCAGCUAUUAAUGAAUAGGCGUACAAGACUCUAGCUGUGGAUAGAUUAACACAAAAUAACCGCAGACUAAUGGGACUCUCCAUUCAUGCCACAAUUACAACAUAUUCUGUAAUUCUCAGAAUGGACAAGAGGUAUUUUGUUGGAAGUAAAGAUGGGCAAGAUGUACAUUAAAGAUGAGAUAUGCACAUGGUCUCUGAGGAAACAUAACAGCCAACAAUUGAAAUGGGAAUGUUCCUGCCACCCUGCUCUGAAUGUCCAUUUCCUUCCAAAAUGCAAAUACAGACAAUCUAACUCAACAUGUGGGAAGAUUGAAAGUUGAGACUUUAGUAGACAAAGAGAUAUGAGAGUGGAGUCCUUGUGUAUGGGUUUUGUUCCCAAAUAAAAGAGACAUUUUAUCUC